rnacentral:rRNA from 1 species
UACGUAGGGAGCAAGCGUUGUCCGGAAUCAUUGGGCGUAAAGAGCGUGUGGGCGGCCCGGUAAGUCGGUUGUGAAAGUCAAGGGCUCAACCCUUGAAAGCCGACCGAUACUGCCGGGCUAGAAUCCGGAAGAGGCGAGUGGAAUUCCUGGUGUAGCGGUGAAAUGCGCAGAUAUCAGGAGGAACACCAAUGGCGAAGGCAGCUCGCUGGGACGGUAUUGACGCUGAGACGCGAAAGCGUGGGGAGCAAACAGG